GCUGCUGCUGCGUCACGUCCUGCGGUGACUGCUGUCACUUGGUCCUAAAUUGAAUUGAAGGGCCGCAGGACUCAGGCCAGCAACUAGCACCAAUCGAAUGCUGUGCCACGGAAGGCACGUAGCAUCUAAAUUAAAAUACAAUUGGAAAGUGAAGAAAAAUUACUUCAUCAUAAAGAGCAGCCGCAUCGGCAUCAGCAGCAAUAGCAAUAGCAUUCCAACAGUGCUCUUUAGCCGCGUUUCGCAUACGCGCCGUGAGCCAAGAAUAUCGCAAAUCAGUCGUCGCUAUUUAAUGAAGUAACCAGCAAACAUGACUUUAAAAUACGUGACUUGAUUCCAUCCACGCGACGUGCGAAUCGUACAGUCAGCGAACGCUUUAUAUAUCAGAUGUAUUUUGCUGGCAUUAGCAUUAAGAAGAAAGCAUUAGGCUUGAUGCUCCUUCUCGACAAAUUGCGCAUACGUCACGUGUCGCUGGCGUGGGGCCUAAUCCAAGUGCCGAUUAAUUGCUAAACAUAAAUCCAGUUAAUAUGCGUGGCUCGCAAAAGUACCGAAUAAAGGAAGCGAAACAAAAGCAAAUGAAAGAAACUGAAAAAAACAACCGAGACGUGCUAAUGAGUACCAACUGAAUCUCCGCGUUAGAUCUGUAAUUUUUGUAAUCAAUCAAACUGUCAUCAAUCACUCUGGCAAUCAGACCAAUCGAACAAUCGGAAAAUGGAGAGACAUGAAUAUAAAUAUGGUGCUAUUCAAUCCGAA
rnacentral:sRNA from 1 species